GGGAUUCGCCGCUACCAAGACAAGAUACGGGACUGCAUGAAGGAACUGGACUUUAUCUUCCGGGAACUGCAAGAUAAACUCACCAAACAAAUGAAGUGUAACAGCACAAAACCAAAUCAAAGGAUCGGCGUGUGACAGAUAUAAACAAAAUUUUUGAUUCACAUACGGCCAGAAGAAAAAGAGAGGUGAAAAACAAACAUCAGAACUGAGAUGGAAAGGAAAAGUUAAAUAUUGUUUAAAAUUACCUUUAAUGAUGAGAAUCUGCCAAGUGUCUUGACCUCCCCUGUAUCCCU